GUGAGCGUAGCGCAAACGGUUUCAGCGCGCCUCGUUGCCAGCGAGGAGGUUGCGAGUUCGAGUCUCGUCGCUCACA
rnacentral:tRNA from 1 species